rnacentral:misc_RNA from 1 species
UACGGAGGGUGCAAGCGUUAAUCGGAAUUACUGGGCGUAAAGCGCGCGUAGGUGGUUUGGUAAGUCAGAUGUGAAAGCCCAGGGCUUAACCUUGGAAUUGCACCUGAUACUGCCAGGCUAGAGUACGGUAGAGGGAGGUAGAAUUCCACGUGUAGCGGUGAAAUGCGUAGAGAUGUGGAGGAAUACCAGUGGCGAAGGCGGCCUCCUGGACUGAUACUGACACUGAGGCGCGAAAGCGUGGGGAGCAAACAGG